GAGGGGAGACCCAGAGUGUGGGGACUGCUGUGGGGCAGAACCCCCAGGGUAAGGGGGACUAGGGUCUGGGAGGGACAUGGGCCUGUGGCAGAUGAGACGUCGGCCAGCAGCAGGCGCUCUGAGUCUGGAAAGAGCUAAUUCCCAGAUGACCAGCAGGAGGCGCUGUGCCGGUGAGUCAGCGAUCUGCUCCGGACAGAUUACAAAAGCAGGUCAAUAGCACUGAGAUCCCCAACUUCACCUACCUGGGGAAACUCUUGGGGCCAGUUUGAGCCAAAGCUCUGUGGCCCAUCUUGAGUUUAGAGAGAGAAACGAGAGAUUCUCAGAAACGGCUUCUCUUGUGGCUGGGGCACUGGCUGUGGGCCACGUAAGAGCACAGCCAGCUCUCAACUAGUUCCAGCCUCCCCAGACCAGGAGAACAAGGGGGUUACAAGAAGAAAUAGAUCUCGUUUCAUUUUACACAGCGCGCACAGUCCCCGGUGGGAAGGGCAAGCGGGGCUGAGACUGGACAAUUCGACUCCUAAAAACAGGACAUGGCAGAGCAGAAACACACCCGAUUGUAAGCAGCACCCUCCCCUCUGCCUGCACUGGGCGCUCUCGUUUGCUUGGGAAUGAAAGCCCUGGUCCACUGGCUGCUCUCCUUCUCAGCACCCUGGGCUGCUCCCGUCUCGGCCUGCCCUCACUACGGCGGGGUUCGCCUGCUUCUCUGGGGAGUCACUGCCCAGGGCGUAUGUGUGGAAGGGCCUGCUGCUUAUCCUGCUCUCCCAGAGCAACCAUGCCCAAGUGGGUGGGUUGUGUAGUGGCUGCCAGCAGCAGCACAGCGACUCCCCGGCCCAGGAUGGAGAAGGGGAUUCUGAGCAGGCCAGGUUUUACUGAGCUCGCUGCAAUACGUCAAGGAGAGAGGAAACGCUGAGUCUCCUCAGCCCAGCAGCUUGGCUUGCCUCAGGCAGGGCCAGACUAAGGCGGAGGCACUACAAGCCCACGUCACGGGCCCAGCUCCUGGUGUCAUUUGAUGAGACCAGAAUCUGUUUUCAUUUAAAAAAAAAAAAAAAAAACAAUUUAAAAGAAUUGUUGCUAGCCCCCCUGGAUGUCAAGAAAAACUUGAACAUGUAACCUGAGUAUAACUGACUCAUGCCUGAGUCUGCAAAGAGCCUGAACCGAUCGCCCCAAGGGGGGUGAAUUCCAAAACCUGUGGCCAUUGCGAGGCUUGGGGUGGGGCUCCGGGGCUCCUUGUGGCAUGUGCCUAAGGCUCGGCCUUGCCAUGCCAUGGCUCCUGAGCCCAUGAGGAGGCGGUAUGGGUGGUCAGGGAUCCAGGAGAGGCUGUGCUGGAGAAUUCCCCAGGGCAUUAUGCUGUUUCACUGUGACAUGGCCUCCCUUUUAGGAGCUGCCCCACAGCUGGGGCUUUGCCACUGCUGGGUGCUGGUUAGUACCUGUGCAGUGAGAGCUCGUUACUAGAUGGAACUGUCUGUGGGGCGAGUAACCCCUGCCCCCGAGCCCCCUGCACAGCCCACACCCUGUGACUUCCAUCCAUGUGACCAAGGCUCAGAAUAUUGCUGUUUACUAACAUGUCUUGUGGCCUGAAAGCCCCAUGCUGGCCCCCUCCCCACUGUUGUGGGGCCACAUGGGUGCUGGGUCUCAUCAGCACAGGGUGCUGUGCCCAGCCUGGGAAGAGCCAGUUCUCCAGUGACAGCUAAAUACAGCUGUUAAAUCCCUCACCCUGCUGCUGCUUCUCCUCCCCGCUUUCCCCCCUGCUCCCAUCUGUUGAAACUUUCCACUGGUUCCUCCUCCUUUGCAAACCCAAUGGCUGAGGCAGUGCCACUUCCCCAGGCCGAGCGCCCAGCAGCCGGCAUGGCCCUUUCCGGCCAGGCUCUGGCUGAACCCAGCUGAACCCUGGGUCUGUGUAUGACAGUCGGCGAGCUGGGGCCUGGAAAGUCCCUGCUGAACCUGCAGGCAGGGCUGUGGUGAGCAGCGCUUUGUAAAUAGCCACAGGACGCAGGCUCAGGAGAGCCCUGCCCUGGCUCUGGGUGGCUGUGGUCAGUCAGCAAAGAGAAACCAGGGCAGCAAAGUAGGCCAUGCCCCUGAGCUGGGGCUUCUGGGCCUAACCCUGUCAGAACCCCUCAGGCCCCCAGGACUGGGCCUACAGGGGGUGCAACGGCUGCAUUUCAGCCUCUGUGGGGCUACUGCCCAAUGCUUCGGAGGCUCCUCCGGGGGUACAGGACACAGCACCUCCCUUAUGGCAGGGGGUCUCAACCAGGGUACGCAGAGCUCUGCCGGGGGGACAUCAAUGCAGCUAGAUCACUGCCUACUUUUACAACAGGCGACAUAAAAAGGAUAGCGAAGUCAGUACAAGCUAACAUUUCACACGAUGACUUGUUUGUACUGCUCUAUAGACUAUACACUGAAAUGUAAGUACAAGCUUUGUAUCCCAACGGAUGUCUUUUAUAACUAUAUGGUAAAAGUGAGAAAGUAGCAAUCUUUCAGUAAUACUGUGCUGUGACACUUGGUAAUUUAGAUCUUUAUAAGCUAGUAGUUUUUAAGUGAGGUGUAACUUGGGGUACGCAAGACAGAGCUGACUCCUGAAAGGGGCAGAGCAGUCUGGGAAGGUUGAGAGCCACUGCCUUAAGAGCAGGAGGGGUAGCUGUCCUGUAUGCAAUGUCCCCGUAGGUCAGGGGCAUAGAGUCAUUGAAUAUCAGGGUUGGAAGGGACCUCAGGAGGUAUCUAGUCCAACCCCCUGCUCUCUUCCAUAGCCCUGGGGGAGACAGCCACGCCCUACCUGGGUGAAGCGGGGCUGGGUGUAGCCAUUCUUGCAUUAUUUUACACACCAUAUGACUGAUGCAGCACACCGGUCAUUGCUCUGGAGUAGCCCUGGUUAAAAAGGGCUGUGCUAAUUAGUGGAUUGGGAUGGGCUGAGGAGAGCCCCAAAGGCUAAUUAGCCCAUUAACCAAGAGGUAAAAAAGGCAUAGGAAGAAGUGCACAGGGAAACAGAGAGAAGCAGGCCUUUCAGAGUCAGAACCAGGUGAGAUCUCCCCCAGGGAAAAGACCUUCUGUCUCCCCCAUCCUUGGCGGAGUGAGCUAAGGAUUGUAGGAUAUUGUAAAUACAGAGCAGCAUGACUUUGUGCAGGUGGGGAGAAGAACACGGUGAAAUAAGCCAUGAGGCGGUUGGCCAGAAGGUCUCUGAGCAGUGACAAGAGACAGGAGUGGGACACCCCCUCCCCCCAUCCCUCUUGGAGGCUUGGCUGGGAUCUGUAGCCAGUAGGGGAGUUUGGCAGCCUGGACCGUGGAGGGGACCCUGCAGUGGCUGGUGAAACAGCAAGCGGAGCUGUAGAAGGCUCUGCCAAGUCUCCAGCAAUCCCACCCCCUGGACUGGCAGCCCUGGCUGGCCGAGCAGCGAAAACGCCUGCAGGACUUCCUCAGAGACCCAGCAGCAGCUUCCAGAGCUGGUGGUGAGUCCUGCGGUGGGAGAUGGCCACCAGACGUCCAGCCUAGGACAGCGUAGGAUGGGCCCUGCGGAGGAUCCAAUGAAUUCCUGGGCACCUUGGAGAGGGCAGCUAUGGGGGGCUCUGAGUGAGGAGCAGGCCAGGAAUUAUGAGGUGAUUCAGGCCACCAUCUUGAAUCAGGUGCAUCUGUCCACUGAACAGUACCACCAAAAGUUCUGAUCCACAAGGUGGGUGGGGGUUUGUGGGCCACCUGCUGGCUGCAGCCAAGACACCCAAACAGUGAGGAAGAUAAUGGACAGACUGAACAAUUCCUCUAGGGCCUCCCCAAGAACAUAGGGGUGUGGGUCAGCUGGCAUCAACCAGGUUCUCUGGCUCCCAACAUGAAACUGAGGAGGAACUUGCGAAGGCAGAUCUCCCCAGGAGAGAACUGACCUGACGGGGUGGGUGUUUGGGAGGAAGACCAGAGAACCUCCAGCUGGAAAGGAGAUGGAAAAGGAGAACCCAGAGGAGCUCUAGCUGGGGCUUGUCCGUUACAGGUUACCAGUGCGGGUGGCUGGGACUCAUUUUAAAAAAAAGAUUGCCAGUACAUGGAAUGCAGUUUUCCCAAGUCUCGUAUUUGGGCCAGGACUGGAGGGAAGCAAAAGGGAUAGAAACUGUUCUCCAUUUCACUAAGGUUAUAUUGGAAACAGGUGGGGGUAAUGGAAGGGCUGCCCUGCCGUGAUGGGUACGGACUGGAGCCCUUUCUCCAUCAGAAAACAAGCUGGUGUAAGGGGUUCUCAGACUGGGGAAGAGGAAUCCCAAGAAGGGAAAAACUAAACCUGAAGGGAGAGAAAAGAAUAAACCAGAGGAGGAAGGAAAGGAACCCACUAGGCAACCGAGCCUAACUCACGAUGAAAGGGAAGAAAGACAACCCAAGGCCUUAACGGGGGCUGAGGGACCCCCACAAAGUUUCCAGGGAGAUGAAGACCAGGGGUGGGUUGGCGGUUAGGGCGGGCCUGAGAGCAUGAACAAGCUGAGGGAUGGGGGAACAGCCCUCAAUCAACCAGCAGACGCAAAGGCUGCUCAUGGUGCGAAGACUUGUGAGCUGAAACCGAGCUGGGGGUGUGAGUGAGCCUCCCAAGGGGCCCUAGAUGAUUACCCAGGGACAGAGGAAAAGAUCUGAGGUUAGCUCUGCGAGAGCUAAAACAAACAUCGCUCUGGCUGUGGUGGUGCGGGCAGUGGCCGGGUCCCAGCCCGUGCUGCCAUGUGCAUGCUGCUGUUUUUCACAUGCGUCUGGCGGCUUGGGCUGGGGGCUCGCUCCCAGCUGCGAGGUGGAAACACCCUUAGGAGCCAGCCUGAGAAGAGCAGAGCUGCUGAAUGGAUUGUUGGGCCCAGACUUUGUUCACUGGCCCAAGGCAGCAGCACGGCUUGGGCCUCUCCCAAUCGACACCUGUCCCUGUUGCCUAGCCCCCCCAGGGGCAGUGCAUGCUGGGACCGGUCAUCUCCUGUCCUUGGUCUGUAGCACAGUGGAGGUGGUUGCAAUGAUCGUGUAAAUGUGGCAUCGCUUUCAACUCUCAACCAAGCGCCAGCUUUGCCAGAGGCCCCAGCUGAGUACCCACCAUGUCGGCAGGGUGGGGAGAGACGAGCAGCUGUCUAGGGGGACCCCCCCCAAAUGUUACGUCUGGCUCGGGACAGAACCCAGCUUCUUGCCUUUGCCCUCAGCGCAAGACACGUGCAGGCUGCGGGUGGCUCUGAUGUUCGAGUAGCCGCUGGCUGAUCAGGAUGGCUGUACAGCUAGUGUCGGAUCUGCCCCUGCCCCCCGCGGGCUGACCUGAUGUGCUGGGUGCUGUACAAACACCGCUAGCUACCGUUCUGCCCCCAAAGCCUUACAGCGUAACAGGCUGUGUGAUGGGAGUGUCCCUGUCAAUGGGGGGUGGGGCGAGGGUGACCCAAACUCGCAUGUUAAGUGCUACUGGCCCUGAGCUAAGGGGACCGCCAGGGUAACUGAAUUUAGCUGACAGUUUCCCACUUCAGGCACUGCCAGCUGGGAAGGAGGAGGGGGAAAGUGGUUUCUAUUACAAUGGGACAGAUUUAUCUGUACAGGAAACGAACCCCCAAUUCUGCAGAGCUCUCCAAACUGCCCUUCAGUAGCACCUCCCAACCCUGCCUGUCUUAGAGACUGUUCGUUAUUGCUGAGCUCAGACCUGGGCUAGGUGCCUCCUACACGCUCCAAGGCAUGGUCCCUGCCCGGGGGAGGCUGCAGUCUGGCAUGAGCCUGAAGGAUGAGGGGGUGAUGACAGGCCACCAGGAAGGCAGUAAAGUGGGGCACUGGGCACCAGAGAUGAUCUUGUCUGGAUGGGGAGGGAGGUGAGUCCACAUCAGAGACCCCAGGAGGUGGAAGGAGGUGCUCAGGGCAUGGCUGAGGGAUGGGUACGGCUCCGAGCAGGAGCCGAAGCUGGGUGCUGGCAGCAAGAUGUGGUUGGCCUCCAUGCUCUGUCGUGCUCAGCAGCGAGAGGGCUUGGGGAGGGAAGAUGAGCUUGGGCUUGGCCUUGCUGUGCCUGUGCUGAGGCACAAGUGAGAAAGGCGCCGAACCCACAGGAGCUGCUGGGCUCACUCAAGGAGUUCCAGGGUCUCCGGCAGAGAGGAGAGCUGGGACCCGUCUUGCAUUGUUCUGGGGAGGGCAGAGCUCACUUAGGCACUACAUGAAUAAUUACCCCAAACCUGGGGGUACAGAAGGUUCGGGGAAGCGCUCUGAUGUCGAGCAUGUCAGAAUGAAGGUUCUCAGUGCAGCCGAGUGGCUCCAAGAGCGAAGCGCAGGGCCUGAGAUGGGCCUGCUAAAACGUACACAGGUGGUGGCCUGCUUGAAGGACAGCCAGCACAGAGCCUGCUGCAAGAGGGGCUGUUCUGCACCAACCUGAGGCUUCCCCAAGGCAAGGAAGAAUGGGCAGGCUGGAGAAAACAGGUAACGGAGCUCGUUACUGACUCCGGGUGGGCUCUGCCCAGGUCUGUGCAGCAAUAAAGAGGCUCCUGGAAGCAGCAGGAACAGAGACUCCCACUGACUUGACAGCCUUUGGAGUGGGCCCUCUGCAGCCAGUGGGUUCUGGUUGUUUCCACUCCACCCAGCGAUAGGUACACAAAGGGUUAACGAGUUGCUGCGGGAUCAGGCAGCCCUGCUCCAACCUGGAAGGGUCAGGCUUGGGGGGAGAACGCAGCAGCUUGAACUUUGUGCCCCUGCUCGCCAGAGCCUGUUGUGGGGCUGCUGGUUGAUUUGUCCCAAAUGACUUAGCAGACUGGCCUCUCACCAGCAGCUGCCGGUGGUGCCCUGCCUGAAGGGGCAGGAGCUAAAUUACAAACCUUUUAUUUCCUUAAGCCUGACGGCGACCCAGUGUAGCUUGUCCCGAGCCCAGGCGUGAGCCAGCCACACCCCGUUGUACCACUGGCCUGAAAGCAUUGCUUCUGCUAUUGCCUGAUCAGCAUUACAACUGCCCCAGAAAUCGGUGCAAGGCAAAGGAGCAGGGUUCUGCCAGGCCUGGGGGGAACCGACGUCCACGUAGAUGACAGGCUAGGUAUGGAGACGUCAGGAAGAACGGAAAGGCAGGUGCUCUACAAGGAAGAACCCACACUGGGAGGCAAACGGCGCAUCGCCAGCACCACUCCUAGCUCUUCCUCUGCCUGCACCUGGCAGGCCCUGCCAGCCCUGGUCUUGGCUUGCUGGGAACGCGGCCUGUGAGGAAAGCCAGGCCGGGGGAAUUGCUCGGUGUGAGGGGUGUCUGCUGGGGAAGUCCCUCGGGAAGCAGGUCAGAGAGCUGCAGGAGGAGGUGGCUUGUCGGGGAGCAGGAGGACUUAAUUGACAGGAUGCGCAAGGAUACAUCUGGGUGGAGGAUUCUGGCUGACUGCAGACCGAGAACCAGCUGCUCUAUGGAGAGGAGACUGGCGGCUGGCCACCUCGGGCAGUAGCUUGUGCUCUCCCCCAGCCCACCCCAAGUCCCUGUCCAUUGAGGUGAAAAACCUGGUAGCUGUAUUGACAACAGGAGGUGAGGGGCAGACCCCAGUGGCUGAGGAGGAGCCAUUUGCCUCCAAAGCUGGAGGAUCACAGCCACAGCAGCCGAGAGGAGGAUGCGCAGGAUGCCAGAGGUCAGAGAUUCCCUUCUGAGGAGGAUGGAGGCGUCCAUCUGCCAACCCAUGAUGUCCUGGGAGGUGCAGGCACUGCCUGGAGCCUGCAGCCAAGAUGUUAUGGAAAGGCUGAAGCGGCUCAUCCAUCCCUCUGACCACCACCCUAUGCUGCUCAUCCACCCCCCUCCCACAGGGCUCUGCGCAUGAGGGUGAAGGAGUCAGGGGCACAGUCUGGGUCCAUCCUUCCAGUUGAGGGGAAGGGCCCAGGCCAGAACACGCAUCCUGGAGAUGAAUGCAGGGCAGCGCAGUUGGUGUCGAAGGAAGAGCUUCAGUUUCUUCCACCAUGGGAUGCUAUUCAGGGAAGAGAUGGGGCACAAAGACUAGUUAUCAAUGAUUCACUGUCAAACUGGGAGGGUGGAUCUAGCGGAGUCCUGUGGGGGGUCAGUCUUGGGUCUGGCCCUAGUCAUUAUUUUAAUUAAUGACUUGGAUAAUGGAGUAGAGUGCGCGCUUAUAAACUGUGGUAGGAGGAGUUGCAAGCACUUUGGAGGACAGGAUUAGAAUUCAAAACCAUGACAAAUUGGAGUAUUGGUCUGAAAUCAACCAGAUGAAAUGCUGCAAAGGCAAGUGCAAAGUACUACACUUAAAAAGAAAAACCAAAUGCACAACUACACAGGGGGAAUAACUGGCUAGGUGUUAAUACUGGUGAAAAGAAUGUGUGGGGGGGUUAUAAUGGCUCACAAACUGAAUAAGAGCCAACAAUCUGCUGCAGUUGCAAAAAAGGCUGAGAUCACUCUGGGGUGUAUUAUGUAACACACAGGAGGUGACUGUCCCGCUCUGCUCGGCACGGGUGAGGCAUCAGCUGGAGCACUGUGCCCAAAACAGGGGAGACGGAGUACAGAGGAGAGUAACAAAAAUGAUGAUAAAAGGUUUAGCCCUUGUCUACAUCUACUUUGAUAUAACUUGUGUUGCUCAGGAGUGUGAAUAAUCCACACUCCUGAGUGACAUAAGUUACAGCGACCUAAGUGCCGGUGUAGAGAGCGGUGUUUCGGAGGGAGAGCUUCUCCCGCUGACACAGCUACCACUUCUCGUGGAGGCAGGAGUUAUUAAGCCGAUGGGAGAGCUCUCUCGCGUCAGCAGAGAGCGUCUCCACCACAAGUGCUACAGCAGCAUCGGUGCCGCUGUAAGUGCUGUAGUGUAGAUGUAGCCUUAGAAAACCUGACUAUGAGGGAAGGUUAAAAAAACUGGGCAUGUUUAGUCUUGGAAAAAAGACGAGUGAGAAGGGACUGAUAAGUCUUCAACUAUGAGAAGGGCUGUUUAAAGGAGGAGUGUGAUUAACUGUCCUACCUUCAGUGGACAUGGAGAACAAAACGUAAUGGGCUAAAUCUGCAGCAAGGUAGAUCUAGGCUAGACAUUGGGGAAAAUCUUUCCACCUACAAGGGUAGUUAAGCUCUGAAAGAGGCUUCCAAGGGCUAUUGUAGAAUCCCCAUCAGGGAGAUUUUUGAGAACUGGUUGGACAAAGACCUGCCAGGGAUGGUCUAGGUUUACUUGGUCCUGUCUCAGCAUUGGGGGCUGGACUAGAUGACCACUAGUGGUCCGUUCCAGCCCAACAUUUCUAUGAUUAAGAGAAGGGACGAAGACAGAGCCAGAAGUCAAAGUGCCUAAAAUGCCACCACCUAACCAUGUUUUGGAGCCGCUGCAGUUCCACAGUUCGGUUAAAGGCCUGGAGCACAUUUAUACAGCAUGUGCACUCAAAGGUCCUGUUUUGUCACAAACCGCAUAACACGGAUUAAUGUCUGAGCGGGUCGAGGAGAUCCUCUGAGCUGCAAGGGAAAGGAUCUGAGUCCGUGUCCAGGGGGUGGGGGACGACAGGGUGAUCUCUCACCUUCAUGUAGCCAGUGGCCUGUGCUCCCACUGCCAUGCUGGCGCCUCUGCAUUCAUUUAUUGAUCAAUAAAAUUUGCAGAAUUUUGCAGAUUUUUAACAUUUUUGGAGCAGAAUGCCCUCAGGAGUAACAGAUGCUGCCAGCUGUGGUUUUGCUGGGAUGCACCUCUUAUGCCGAGAUGAUGGGAAGCCUGCAGCUAGUUUUCCAGACACCGAGAGCAGGUGCACCCACAUAGAGAGAGAGAAUGUUUGAACAACAGGGCGCUUGAGAGAGGAGUGGUAUCUGCAGGGUCUCUAUCACUCCAACUAGUGACGUGCCGCUGGUCAUGAACAGCAACGCUGGUCGAGAGAGCUCUCGCAUGUGGGUGGCAAGCCCAGACGGAGCACUGGCUUCCUGUUCAGCGAGGAUCCCAGUUUAUUCCUGAGGUUCUCCGAGUGAGAGUAACACACAAGGGCCUGCCAGCCUCCCCACUGACAGCAGAACAGACUAAACCAGAGACUAAAGCUGAUACACAUCGAAAAACUAUACCCACGGUGCAGAUACUUAUCAGGGCCUCACAUCCUGCUGCUGAACUCCAUGCAGUGAGAGAGGGACUCUCCAUGACAGAGUUUGAGCAGCUCUGGUAACUGCAUUGCAGGCCCAUGGGCCUGGCAGGACUUACAGGAAAAGAUUGUGUUCUUUAGUCUAAUAAAGCUCCUCAUUCAGCAUUACAAAAAA